AGUCGAGCGGAGAUGAGGUGCUUGCACCUUAUCUUAGCGGCGGACGGGUGAGUAAUGCUUAGGAAUCUGCCUAUUAGUGGGGGACAACAUUCCGAAAGGAAUGCUAAUACCGCAUACGUCCUACGGGAGAAAGCAGGGGAUCUUCGGACCUUGCGCUAAUAGAUGAGCCUAAGUCGGAUUAGCUAGUUGGUGGGGUAAAGGCCUACCAAGGCGACGAUCUGUAGCGGGUCUGAGAGGAUGAUCCGCCACACUGGGACUGAGACACGGCCCAGACUCCUACGGGAGGCAGCAGUGGGGAAUAUUGGACAAUGGGGGGAACCCUGAUCCAGCCAUGCCGCGUGUGUGAAGAAGGCCUUAUGGUUGUAAAGCACUUUAAGCGAGGAGGAGGCUACUGAGACUAAUACUCUUGGAUAGUGGACGUUACUCGCAGAAUAAGCACCGGCUAACUCUGUGCCAGCAGCCGCGGUAAUACAGAGGGUGCGAGCGUUAAUCGGAUUUACUGGGCGUAAA
rnacentral:rRNA from 1 species